rnacentral:sRNA from 1 species
AUUAAACUAGCUCUAAUAUAACUGACUAUAAUAAUUUGUAUUUUAUUAAGAAAUUAUUUUCACGGCGAACACCUAUUUGAGUUUUUCUUCCAUGAAUUAGCAAAGUGGGUUAGGCCUUCCAGCAUUUAGCCAUUUGAGCAAAAUUAGACGAAUUUGCCCUUAAACGAGAACUGCUGAAACUGGUUACUUUUGGUUUCAGUUUUUUGUUUUCUCUCUCUUUAAUGUCUUAUAAUAUAUUUUUGUUAAACAAAAUUUUUUUAUUGAAAAACAGAAGAAGAAAGAGAAAAAGAAUCGAAGAAGAGGUGGUAUUAAAUCAAAAGAAAAUUUCACGUUAUAACACCCUUGUCACUUUUUCUUUCACAAAUAGGCAAAGUGGGCUGGGUCAACCACGUUUUAGCCAUUAGGCCCAAAAUGGCCGAAUUUGCCCUCCAACGAGAAACUGACGGAGGCGGUUUCGUUUCGUGGAACCGGUUCAGUUUCCUUAACCGUUUUCUGGUUUCAAAAUAAUUUAAAUAUUUAAAAUUAUUAAUUUUAAAACUGAAAAUAAAUCAAAAACUGUCUUCUUCGAGAAAGCAGAACAGUUCCGUCGAAACGAAGAGUGGUUUCGAAGAACCAGAGAAAUUCCGACAAAACUGAAUCACAAUUCCGAUUGAGGCUCUGUUCGAGUUCUAGUCGUUGCUAAAGUGGAGAAAAUUUCGAUAGAGUUCGUGUUAAAGUGUGGAACAAUAAUACGCUUUUUGGGUUUAUCGAUUAACUGUUCAUAGAAGAGCUCUAAUGGCGGCGACGAGGAAGAGUAGUCGGCGGCGAGGAGUUUCGGAUAUUGAUGAGGCAUCGGCGGCGACGACAAAUCUGGGUUAGUUUUCCCUAACUUCGUUUGGAGAAUGAUUGAUUCAAAAUCUAGGUUAAUUUUAGAGAUUUCAACUCAGAAAUUUUCAAUUGACAAAGGGAUUUUGUUUUUUUCCGCCAAAAACAGUUGAUUGAGUAUAAAAGGUUUCGGUGUACGUGUAUAUGAAAAUCGAGUUUAUGUUAGUUGGUAUUUGGAUAUAGUGUACGUGUUAAGAACUUCUUCGUCUUGCUCAACUUUCAGGAAGUACUUCUAAUGAUCCGGGUGAAUUACCACAGAGGUUGUUUGCACUCGAUCACUACCCUAGCAAGGCGAAGAUAAAUGUGUACUCCAGAGCGGAGUACAUUGGUCAAAUAGCAGCUGCGCUUAAGGACACACCAGAAAUGACGUUCCUUCUAGAUUCUCCAUU